UACAGAGGCCCCAAGCGUUACUGAGAAUCACUGGGUUUAAAGGGUGCGUAGGUGGCGCGUUAAGUCCGUUGUGAAAUCCCUUGGCUCAACCAAGGAAAUGCUUCGGAUACUGGCGUGCUUGAGGCCGGUAGGGGUCACUGGAACUGACGGUGGAGCGGUGAAAUGCGUAGAUAUCGUCAGGAACGCCAAUGGUGAAGACAGGUGACUGGGCCGGUUCUGACACUGAGGCACGAAAGCGUGGGGAGCGAACGGG
rnacentral:rRNA from 1 species